rnacentral:snRNA from 1 species
GGACAUGAGGGUCAUCUGGUUGUGACAUCUGUCACCCCCAUGAUCGCCAGGGCCGAUUCAGCUGCUCUGGUUAUCUACAAAGCUGUCCGGACUCCCUCAGCAUUCCACAUGCGUCCCUGGGGUGGGAGAACAAAUCUCACCAAACAGAUCCCACUGAGGGUGGAUGAACAGCUACACCUGUUUCUCUGCUAGCACCUCCAAAGAAGCUCUCAGGAAACCUUUAAAAAAGUCAUCACUAAAUCUCAUGCCUUCCUCUCCAUGCCCUU